UAAUAUCUUCGGGGCGGGGUGUAAUUCCCCACCGGUGGUUAUAGCCCACGAGCUAAGUUUUAGCAUGAUUCGGUGAAAUUCCGAGGCCGACAGUACAGUCUGGAUGAAAGAAGGUAAGA
rnacentral:ncRNA from 2 species